UACGGGGGGGCGAAGCGUUGUUCGGUAGUUACUGGGCGUAAAGGGCUCGUAGGUGGCCAACUAAGUCAGACGUGAAAUCCCCAGGCUUAACCUGGGAACUGCGUCUGAUACUGGAUGGCUUGAAUUCGGGAGAGGGAUGCAGAACUCCAGGUGUAGCGGUGAAAUGCGUAGAUAUCUGGAGGAAUACCGGUGGCGAAGGCGGCAUCCUGGACCGAGAUUGACACUGAUGAGCGAAAGCAGGGGAGCAAACGGGAUUAGAAAACCC
rnacentral:rRNA from 1 species